rnacentral:rRNA from 1 species
UGGGGAAUCUUGCACAAUGGGCGAAACCCUGACGCAGCAACGCCGCGUGCGGGAUGAAGGCCUUCGGGUUGUAAACCGCUUUCAGCAGGGAAGAAGUUGACUGUACCUGCAGAAGAAGCCCCGGCUAACUACGUGCCAGCAGCCGCGGUAAUACGUAGGUGGCAAGCGUUGUCCGGAAUCAUUGGGCGUAAAGGGCGCGCAGGCGGUUCGGUAAGUCGGUCUUAAAAGUGCGGGGCUUAACCCCGUGAUGGGAUUGAAACUGCCGGACUGGAGUGUCGGAGAGGAAAGCAGAAUUCCUAGUGUAGCGGUGAAAUGCGUAGAUAUUAGGAGGAAUACCAGUGGCGAAAGCGGCUUUCUGGACGACAACUGACGCUGAGGCGCGAAAGCCAGGGGAGCAAACGGGAUUAGAUACCCCGGUAGUCCUGGCCGUAAACGAUGGAUACUAGGUGUAGGAGGUAUCGACCCCUUCUGUGCCGGAGUUAACGCAAUAAGUAUCCCGCCUGGGGAGUACGGCCGCAAGGUUG